rnacentral:pre_miRNA from 1 species
UUGAUAGAAACCAGUUGAGGUCAACUCUAACUUUAGCAUCUUUCUUUUAAGCAUAGUAGAAAGUGCUAUCAAGUUGGGGUAGAUGUUUACUGA